rnacentral:rRNA from 1 species
UGGGGAAUUUUGGACAAUGGGGCAACCUGAUCCAGCAAUGCCGCGUGUGUGAAGAAGGCCUUCGGGUUGUAAAGCACUUUUGUCCGGAAAGAAAACGUCGUGGUUAAUACCCGUGGCGGCUGACGGUACCGGAAGAAUAAGCACCGGCUAACUACGUGCCAGCAGCCGCGGUAAUACGUAGGGUGCAAGCGUUAAUCGGAAUUACUGGGCGUAAGCGUGCGCAGGCGGUCCGCUAAGACAGAUGUGAAAUCCCCGGGCUUAACCUGGGAACUGCAUUUGUGACUGGCGGGCUAGAGUAUGGCAGAGGGGGGUUAGAAUUCCACGUGUAGCAGUGAAAUGCGUAGAGAUGUGGAGGAAUACCGAUGGCGAAGGCAGCCCCCUGGGCCAAUACUGAGCUCAUGCACGAAAGCGUGGGGAGCAAACAGGAUUAGAUACCCUGGUAGUCCACGCCCUAAACGAUGUAACUAGUUGUGGGGAUUCAUUUCCUUAGUACGUAGCUACGCGUGAAGUUGACCGCCUGGGGAG